CCAUUCCAGAAAAAUUGUCCCUGGAAGGAAUUGUGGUGCAACGGGCAGAAUGUCGGCCAGCCGCCAACGAAAGUUACAUGAAACUGAAAAGGCUGCAGAUAGAAGAAUCCUCCAAGCCGGUCAGCUGGACCAUGCAGCUGGACAAGGCCGUCACCACCAAUUACAAACCGGUGGCCAAUCAUCAUUACAACGUGAGU